GCCAUGGAAUACCCUAAUAAAGCUGCUAAACAAAACCUACAACAAAAAGGAGUAGAUAAAUCACCUGUUACAUGUCUGCUCACAACACCAGCAUACCCGUUCGCUGACGCUUCUCAAGUACUUUGGGCUAUAAAUACGAGGAACCAAACUUUUUGGUGAGGCCAAAACAAAUUUCCACGCCCCUCGGCCUUUGCCACUACACUCCCACUUCAGUGGUAAAUGAAAUUUUAAUAAACUGAAACUGGUCUCUGGCUAAAUCGUUUUUUGUGGCAAGGCGUGUUGUUACGCAUAUACCCCAUACGCCGCGUAAGCCGCGCCGCCGCCUUGUGGUACAUUUUAAUUGGCUUGUCGCGAGUUUUAUUCUCGCUGUCAGACUUUGAUUUUGAUUUUCCCCAACACAGAACAGCACAGAGAAACAGAGCCACAGGCAUGAUUAAAAACUUUACAUAGUUUCG